AGCCAAUUACCUCUUCACAUUUCUGAGGCCUGAAGAGCCACAAGCAAUUGCCUAGUUAGGAGACGACCUUGGGGUCUCUUCUUCCUUUCAGGAAAAUGAGCUAAGUCUCUUCCUAAAGGAAAUCUUUUAAAGAGACAGACCGUUUAAUAGAGCUCCUUAAAGGGCUCUCAGUGAAGCAAAGUCAAGUGAUCCUGUCACCUUAAGGAUGCGAGAGGAGAUGCUCUUACAGCCAGAAGAGUUUUCCGAGGCACACUAGUAACCUGGCAAGAAGUUAUUUUCAUUCACUGGAAUUGCCAGCAGACUGAAAAAUCCGUUAUUCACCCAGCUCUAUUUUCAAUAGGGACCAAGCUUACAAAAGCUAUCUGCUCCUACAGUGACCUAUCUGCUCCUACCGUGACACUUAGGGACAGAUGUUCAGCACACCCAAGGUCCACGGCAAGCAGAAAUCCCUGGCAGUGAGUCUCAGAGCCUGGGUCUAAAGACUCAGGCUUGCAGGGCUUGUGCUAUGAUGCUAAAAAUAGCCGUGUAGAUAUUCGGGUGUGGACCCUGAAACCCAGCGAGAGGGGUGGCAACUCAACAACUGCACUGCUUCAUUUCAUAGUAUGGGACAUCUCCUUUCUGUUCUAUGAGGGUAUUAAAAAACCCAGCCCGUUGUAACAUGACUGGGGGUCUUGCACAUCAGCAGGAGAGCUGAAACAUGUCACUACAUUGGUCAUGGUAAAAACUCACAUUUCCUAAUUGGUCACAUUAAUAGGAAAAUCAUUAAAGCUGAGUGAGUCAUUUCUUUAACUCAAACACAUGAUUCUUCAGAAGUAUCGCAAGUUGUGGGAAGAACAAGAAUGAUUAAAAGUGAGCAUUGCUCUGUGAACGGGUGACAGACGGAGAUAAUAAUUUGUGACCUGAGUCAUGGGCGAGGGGACUGCAGACCAUGCUGCUUCUGCCAAAUGUAUUCUCAUGCUCUCAGUUUUAUCCUUUGCCUCAUGCUGGACUCAACUCUCCGCUGACCUGAGCACUGGAAUGUUUGCCUGAGAUGGGGCCUAGCUAUGUCCGAGCUCUGAGGAUUGGCUACUGACGAGUGAGUGGUCACAUGGAUCUCCAUCUCCGUCAGUGACAAUGACUCAGCUUUUGGCUAGAGGAAUGAGCAUACGACUGGGGGUCAGGACUUCUAGGUUCUAGUUGUGGUCUGCCAUUGGCUGCAUGCCCUUGGGUGAGAGACUUCACCUCUCUGUGCCUCAGCAUCCUCACCUGUGAAAACGAUGCUGAUGAUUGUGUUUCAUCCUUCUAAAGUGCUUUUAGAUCCUCAUGCUGCAUCUCUACCCCUCAUGUUGAGUGGCAGUGGAUUCCUUUCCCUCCCAGAGAGACAGAGGCAGGAGCUGUAGCAGCGAUGGCAACAUCUUUCCCCUGGAGAAGCAAGGGGAAUGGAGACAAUACUUAAACCCCAGCUGCUGGGAUAGCUGCUAAGGUAGAUCUCUAGGCUGCACUUCUCUCCCACUGCCAUCUACUAAAUUGUCUGCUGGGUGGGGAUGGCAAGGUCUCCAAGAACAAUAGGUCUUGGCGUUAACACCCCAUUGAGAUGAAUGCCCCCCCAGAGCUAUCGUUUCAGGCUCUUUACAGACUCAGGCAGACACAGCAUAUUGAGAGUACAACAUGGGUCAUGUUUUCAUGUUGUUCUUCCCAACCAGGAGCACUAGAAACAUACUUAAAAAACAUAAACAAAAAAAAACACCUAGAAACUGAGACUCUGAAGGAAUCAUGUGACUCAGGGAGCCCUAGCCCCAUGGGCCUACAGUGCCUCUGUCUUUAUCCAGCCCAAGAUGCCAGUGAUGUGCAUAUCGCAAAUGCCUAAAAUAAAUAGCUAGCUUUGGAAAUAUGGGCUUUAUCCUGCAAGGUGGUGGGCCAAUGAGAGUUGAGGGCUCUGGGAAAUUUGCAGGAGGCCCUGAGACUCUUGCCGGAUAAGAUCGUAUAUGUUUGGAAACAAAACCCAGGGUGCCAUCUCCAGGUAGAUUGCCUCAGUAAAGCCAUUGGAAGCUUUAUCAGGACACUCGUAAUCUCCAUUUCAUUGAACAACAACUUUUGAUAAAAUCCCUAUUGAGAGCAAAGCAUGAGGAGGCGAAGGGGCCAAUUUAACAGCUUAUAUAUGCCUCCCCAUAGAAAUUCAUGGGUUUCCUUUCUAUGUGAUUUGCCCAAAGGCCUUAAAGAUGAUAAAGCAGGGAAUACAGAAUUUUAGACUAUUUACAUAAAAAAGGCAC